rnacentral:lncRNA from 1 species
GUAUAAUAUAGAGAAGUAAAUGUAAAUCACCAUGGAAGGGGAGAAGCUGUUUCAUGGUGGCUGUAUAUAGUAACUGAAAUAGUCAAAAGCCUGUUUCCAGGCAAAAACCAGGUAGCUUUGGACUUUUGAGAUUCUUGGUUGAGCUAUAUCAAGGAGCAAUGUACCAGCCUCAAUCCGAAUGAUGCACCUGCAAGUCUUUGGCGACAGCGCUGGAUAUACUAGUACUGAUAUUUGUACGAAAUAGGUAUGCCUGCCAUUCAACUCAGUAUUUUGAAACCUGAGUGUUGCAAUGGAAAUGGCAAGCAGUUUGCUAGUAUUAUGUAAU